GAUGAACGCUAGCUGGAGGCCUAACACAUGCAAGCCGAGGGCUAUAUUUCUUUAGGGAGCUAGAGACCGGCGCACGGUUGCGUAACGCGUAUGCAACUUGCGCUACGGAAGAGGAUAGACCAGAGAAAUUUGGAUUAACACUUUAUAACAGGUUUUCUCGGCUGACCAGACUAUGAAAGAUUUUCCGCAGUAGGACAGGCAAGUGUACGAUUAGUUAGUUGGUAAGGUAACGGCUUACCAAGACGAUGAUCUUUAGGGGGCCUGAGAGGGUGAUCCCCCACACUGGUACUGAGACACGGACCAGACUCCUACGGGAGGCAGCAGUGAAGAAUAUUGGACAAUGGGUGGAAGCCUGAUCCAGCCAUCCCGCGUGUAGGAUGACGGCCUUAUGGGUUGUAAACUACUUUUAUCUGGGGAUAAACCUAUCUACAUGUAGAUAGCUGAAGGUACCAGAAGAAUAAGCACCGGCUAACUCCGUGCCAGCCGCCGCGGUAA
rnacentral:rRNA from 1 species